rnacentral:ncRNA from 1 species
AAAAAGACAAUGAGAAGGAAUAUUAAGAGUCCUCUGUGCUCACAGAGAGCUGUCGUGGGUGGAAGGCAGCAGUGCAAGGCUCCCAACUGGCCUUUGAGUUCCUUUUUUGAACAGGCGGUGCCUCAGUAGGAAAAGGCGGAUGUUCCCGUUAUAGAACCAAUGAGUGCAUUCUGCUAGAUGGCAGGGUGAACUAGAGUGGUACCACGGAAUGCAGCCCUUUCGUCUCUAGG